rnacentral:ncRNA from 1 species
AUAAUCACUGGGAAGGGAAUCAGUAAAAGGUCACUGUUUCUGCAGAGAGGCGAUGGUUGGUGAAAAUCGCUGGACACAUCUUUGAAUCUAGCCUGGAGUGAUACGGCGGUUACCGAUAUAACCAUAGAGCGGGUUUAAAAAACCAAUUAGGGUGGCAACGCGGGUGCUUCUCGUCCCUUAC